UUUCCGUGGGAUUCACUUAGCUGGGAAGAAGAGUCAUUUGUCAUCUCUAGAGAAAAGAGAUGUAAGCAGCAGAAGAGAGAGUUUUACAGGAGCAGCUGAUGCCUGAGUGCUGUAAGAGCAAUGGACAGAGCAGAGGUUCCUCAGGGGCUGCAGGAAGCUCUGCCAGUGCUUGUACCUGUUUAGGAAAACAUCUCUGCUAGACGACAGUCAGCGUGCAUCUGCUGCAUAAGUUACAGGCUGCCUCACAUCUUGGCUCAGUUUUAGACAUGGUUCUAGUUCAGUUGAAAGAUUUUUACCUAAAUGUUUUGUAACCUAUCUACCAUGUUGGUUUUGUACUACUAUCUUUACUUUGUUGGUUUGGUACUACUAUCUUUACUUUUCUUGAUAUGUCAUUUAUCUGCACAUCUGUAUUGGCAGUGAACUGGGUUGGAUUAACUUGCAUUGUAUUUAAAAGGUUUACUGUAUGGUUAACUUAUCUGUAUUAUUAAUUGCCUUAUUGUGAUGCUUUCUCAAAAUAGUAAUUCCGUGAACUGGGUGGAUAAAAUAAUUUUAAUACAUUUAAUUUACUCUGAUGACCUUCCUCAGUACUUGGUUUCUGCUGUUGUCUCUAACUGAACCUCCUAAUCAUUUGUGAUGAAACUUACAGCAAUUUAAAAAACACAAACUGAUAACAGGGUGUACUGACAAGUUGAGAAAGCCAGAGCUGCUCUGGGUUUUUCUGUUUUGCUGGGGUCUGGGCUGGGAUGAGGAGAAAGUUGCAUUAGGUGAGAUCUGUAUAAGACUGUAAAAGGGAUUGUGCAGCAUCCCUAAUGAUACAUAAGGAUUGUAAUUCUGUCACUCCCAAGGUGAAUGUGGACUAAGUUCCACUGUGUGCUGUGGGGGGGCACUAAUAAGGUCCAAGUGUUACAUGUGGGUUAGAAAAGAAUUUGUGAAGCCUCAAAAAUUGAUGUUGUGUACAAGCCUCCAGGUAAGUUUCCAUGUAGGUCCUAGUGGAGGUACAACCUCUUCUUCAUCAUGCCAGCUUCAAAAACUUUUGGCACCUCAGGGAGAAGGGGCAUGGACUUCCAGUUUGGAUUUCAGCUGAGGAUACAACAUCUCAUCUGCUCACAGAGGGGCUUUGCUGUGUCCUGUCUCUACAUACACAUCUUAUGUGUAGGUUCUGGUUUGGGAUUAGGCAUGUGCCCUCAGCUCCUGCACAGCUGGUGUGCCUCAGAGUUAAACACUUUUUAUUAUGAAAUACAGGUAAUUAGAUGGCUUCAACACUGAGCAGACAGCUGUGUAUUUAAAUGUGACCUUAUACCCAGUCAGUCUCAUAACCUGCAUUUUGAAUAUGGUAUUUAGGUGAAUGCUGUGCUGAGCCUGAGGAAUUGUUAAAAGUGACACAAUGGUAUGCUAAUGCAAUUAGAUGACUUGCAGUGCUGAGAUUUGGCCUUUGUUUGGGCUCAGUUGCAGUUUACCCAGAUGCAAAAAUAUGUAGCCAGUAACUUGUACACUGCUGAAACAAGCCUAGCAGGGCAAAGGUGAGAUCCCGGUGUCAAAGGUGGUGCUACAGACAGCUGCCACAGAUCUGCCAGUGACACCUCAUAGCUCUUGUAGGGACAGGGCUGGGAGGAGGCUUCAAAGCAGUGAGUACCAUCUGGACAUGUCCCUGAGAACUUGGGGUCUGUUGUUUGGGGUGGGGGGGUUUGUUAUUAGUAGAAGGUUGCUCACUGUGUGUUGAGGUUAUCUUGACACAGGAGGAGAAGCUCCACACACCUGAUCUGCACCAGUUUGUGCUGCCAUGGUGAAUCAGUGCUACUUUGCCCUUUUGCUGCAUGGAGGUGGUACCCACAUGUCAAGUCUCAUUCUGUAACUGAUGCAAGGAUUUGGAAAGCAGAAUGUAAGUAUACCAAUAGAUGUUCCAUGGCAGUGGUGCACUUGUAAUGUAUACUGCAGUUGUAUAGAAAAAUCAAUGGUUUUGACAGUGACCCAAAUCUUUUUCUGUCCUUCUGUGUUCUGCCUAGAAUGAGCAGAGAUGCUGUCCUGCCAGUAAUUGCUGGAAGCAGAGGAGAAGGGAGCUGUAGGAUAUUGGCACGUGGAGAAGCGCAGAGAUAUUCCCACUCUGGCUGACAGUUUCUAAUAAAGAUAUUUUUAUUGUAAUUGAAA